rnacentral:rRNA from 1 species
UAAACUACGAUUAGAUACCCUAUUAUUUUAUAUGUUAAGGUUUAUUUGGGUAUUAUUAGUUAUGUUCUUUAAAUUCAAUAAAUUUGGCGGUGUUUUAUUCCAUUUAGAGGAACUUGUCUUUUGAUCGAUAAUCCUCGUUUCAUCUUACUUAACCUAUUUAGUUUGUAUAUCGUCGUUAUAAGUUUAUUUUAUUAGAAUUUGAAUUUACUGUUAAUUUAAUUAAUUUUAUUUCAGAUCAAGGUGCAGCUUAUGGCUAAGUAUUGAUUAGUUACAUUUUUAUAUAAAUAAAUGAAUUUAAUUUUAAAUAUAUUAAUGAAAAUGGAUUUAAUUGUAAUUUAAAUAAUAUAAUUUAUUUGAUUUAGGUUUUAGAAUGAGUACACAUCG